GAUGGACGCUGGCGGCGCGCCUAACACAUGCAAGUCGAACGGUUAAAGCACCUUCGGGUGUGUAUAAAGUGGCGAACGGCUGAGUAACACGUGGGUAACCUGCCCCUCGCACCGGGAUAGCCUCGGGAAACCGUGGUUAAUACCGGAUACUCCGCGACCCCCGCAUGGGGGACGCGGGAAAGCCCAGACGGCGAGGGAUGGGCCCGCGGCCUGUUAGCUUGUUGGCGGGGUAGUGGCCCACCAAGGCGAUUAUGGGUAGCCGGGUUGAGAGACCGACCGGCCAGAUUGGGACUGAGACACGGCCCAGACUCCUACGGGAGGCAGCAGUGGGGAAUCUUGCACAAUGGGCGAAAGCCUGAUGCAGCGACGCCGCGUGCGGGACGAAGGCCUUCGGGUUGUAAACCGCUUUCAGCAGGGACGAGGCCGCAAGGUGACGGUACCUGCAGAAGAAGCCCCGGCUAACUACGUGCCAGCCGCCGCGGUAAUAC
rnacentral:rRNA from 1 species